rnacentral:rRNA from 1 species
GUAGGGAAUAUUGGGCAAUGGUCGGAAGACUGACCCAGCCAUGCCGCGUGCAGGAAGACGGCCCUCUGGGUUGUAAACUGCUUUUAUCUGGGAAGAAAAAGGCCAUGCGUGGCAAAUUGCCGGUACCAGAUGAAUAAGCACCGGCUAACUCCGUGCCAGCAGCCGCGGUAAUACGGAGGGUGCGAGCGUUGUCCGGACUUAUUGGGUUUAAAGGGUGCGUAGGCGGCUGAUUAAGUCAGCGGUGAAAGACUUCGGCUUAACCGGAGCAGUGCCGUUGAUACUGGUUGGCUUGAGUGUCGGAGGGAGACAUGGAAUUGAUGGUGUAGCGGUGAAAUGCAUAGAUACCAUCAGGAACACCGAUAGCGAAGGCAUUGUACUGGCCGACAACUGACGCUGAUGCACGAAAGUGUGGGGAUCGAACAGGAUUAGAUACCCUGGUAGUCC